CUCCCCUUUAUUCCCUAAGAACUUAUGACCUUAUGCUGUUGAUGUCCUGUAUAGGACCCAGAACUGGAAAACGUAGGCAAGGAAGAUCCAUUCCCAGAAAAAUUAUCCUUUUCUCAAAGCCUUCUGACACCACGCGCUGGAGGCUGUUCACCACUGAAAUGGCAGUGUUGUGUUGUUGGGUUUUUUUAAACAAGUGUAAAGGUCUUUUAUUUCCACAUAAAAGGCACUAGUAUCCACCCAAGUUCUAAAAACAAGUGACAUAAUUUACCUUAAGUUUUAAAUAUUUGUAUUAAAAAAAAAAAAAAAAAAUCUGUGGAAAUAUG